GAUGAACGCUGGCGGCGUGCUUAACACAUGCAAGUCGAACGAAGCACUUUUGAUUCUUCGGAAAAGAAAGUGACUGAGUGGCGGACGGGUGGGUAACGCGUGGGUAACCUGCCUUAUACAGGGGGAUAACAGUUGGAAACGACUGCUAAUACCGCAUAAGCCGACAGGGCCGCAUGGCCUGGUUGGAAAGGAUUUAUCGGUAUAAGAUGGACCCGCGUCUGAUUAGCUAGUUGGUGAGGUAAUGGCUCACCAAGGCGACGAUCAGUAGCCGGCUUGAGAGAGUGAACGGCCACAUUGAGACUGAGACACGGCCCAAACUCCUACGGGAGGCAGCAGUGGGGAAUAUUGCACAAUGGGGGAAACCCUGAUGCAGCAACGCCGCGUGAAGGAAGAAGUAUUUCGGUAUGUAAACUUCUAUCAGCAGGAAAGAAAAUGACGGUACCUGACUAAGAAGCCCCGGCUAACUACGUGCCAGCCGCCGCGGUAA
rnacentral:rRNA from 1 species